rnacentral:rRNA from 1 species
GGGGGGACGCAGUAGGAUAGGCGAAGCGUACGAUUGGAUUGUACGUCUAAGCAGUGAGAUUGAGUGUUAGGCAAAUCCGGCACUCUUAAGAUUGAGCUGUGAUGGGGAGAGGAAAUUGUUUCCUCGAGUCGUUGAUUUCACACUGCCGAGAAAAGCCUCUAGAUAGAUAAUAGGUGCCCGUACCGCAAACCGACACAGGUAGUCAAGAUGAGAAUUCUAAGGUGAGCGAGCGAACUCUCGUUAAGGAACUCGGCAAAAUGACCCCGUAACUUCGGGAGAAGGGGUGCUCUUUAGGGUGCAAGCCCAGAAGAGCCGCAGUGAAUAGGCCCAAGCGACUGUUUAUCAAAAACACAGGUCUCUGCUAAACCGUAAGGUGAUGUAUAGGGGCUGACGCCUGCCCGGUGCUGGAAGGUUAAGAGGAGUGGUUAGCUUCUGCGAAGCUACGAAUCGAAGCCCCAGUAAACGGCGGCCGUAACUAUAACGGUCCUAAGGUAGCGAAAUUCCUUGUCGGGUAAGUUCCGACCCGCACGAAAGGCGUAACGAUUUGGGCACUGUCUCAACGAGAGACUCGGUGAAAUCAUAGUACCUGUGAAGAUGCAGGUUACCCGCGACAGGACGGAAAGACCCCGUGGAGCUUUACUGUAGCCUGAUAUUGAAAUUCGGCACAGCUUGUACAGGAUAGGUAGGAGCCUUUGAAACGUGAGCGCUAGCUUACGUGGAGGCGCUGGUGGGAUACUACCCUAGCUGUGUUGGCUUUCUAACCCGCACCACUUAUCGUGGUGGGAGACAGUGUCAGGCGGGCAGUUUGACUGGGGCGGUCGCCUCCUAAAAGGUAACGGAGGCGCUCAAAGGUUCCCUCAGAAUGGUUGGAAAUCAUUCAUAGAGUGUAAAGGCAUAAGGGAGCUUGACUGCGAGACCUACAAGUCGAGCAGGGUCGAAAGACGGACUUAGUGAUCCGGUGGUUCCGCAUGGAAGGGCCAUCGCUCAACGGAUAAAAGCUACCCCGGGGAUAACAGGCUUAUCUCCCCCAAGAGUUCACAUCGACGGGGAGGUUUGGCACCUCGAUGUCGGCUCAUCGCAUCCUGGGGCUGUAGUCGGUCCCAAGGGUUGGGCUGUUCGCCCAUUAAAGCGGUACGCGAGCUGGGUUCAGAACGUCGUGAGACAGUUCGGUCCCUAUCCGUCGUGGGCGUAGGAAAUUUGAGAGGAGCUGUCCUUAGUACGAGAGGACCGGGAUGGACAUACCUCUGGUGUACCAGUUGUCGUGCCAACGGCAUAGCUGGGUAGCUAUGUAUGGACGGGAUAAGUGCUGAAAGCAUCUAAGCAUGAAGCCCCCCUCAAGAUGAGAUUUCCCAACUUCGGUUAUAAGAUCCCUCAAAGAUGAUGAGGUUAAUAGGUUCGAGGUGGAAGCGUGGCGACACGUGGAGCUGACGAAUACUAAUCGAUCGAAGACUUAAUCAAUUU